rnacentral:tRNA from 1 species
GCCCGGAUAGCUCAGUCGGUAGAGCAGGGGAUUGAAAAUCCCCGUGUNNCGAGUCCGGGCACCA